GGUUGCCAUCAUACCAGCACUAAUGCACCGGAUCCCAUCAGAACUCCGCAGUUAAGCGUGCUUGGGCGAGAGUAGUACUAGGAUGGGUGACCCCCUGGGAAGUCCUCGUAUUGCAACCC
rnacentral:rRNA from 1 species